rnacentral:rRNA from 1 species
AGGUAAAUUUGUUGAAUCGUGUGUUUAGUAUAGGUGUAUUAUUCUUGAAAAACUAAACUGUGUGGCGGCGAAAGAUAUGGACAGAGGAAAAUGCUGUUAAUCGAAAUUGCGCGAUAAAUCUUACCAGAGUUUGAAAAAUCAUUUUGUACACAGCCGUCUGAAGAAUGGAUUUAAUAGUUUGUUCUUACUCUAAAAUUUAGAAUGGAGGAUUAAGUCAGGUCAAUGUGCAGACUAUAUUCUGGAAAAAGUGUUCUUCAUUAUUAAUAAUAAUGUGUCCCACAUUUAUAUAAAACAUAUCCCUCACAAGUGAAUUUGGGUAAUUGAAUCUGUUAGUAAAUAUUGUUUAAUAUACAUUAUUGAAUAUUGUUCUCUUUCGUGC